rnacentral:rRNA from 1 species
AGGAGACUACGGGUGACAAACCGGAGGAAGGUGUCGNGNGGGUCAAGUCAGCAUCCCCCUUAAUUAUUGAGCGACACACGUACUACAAUGGUCGAACAAAGGGCAACGAACUCGCGAGAGCCAGNGAAUCCCAGCAAACCCGGCCUCAGUUCAGAUUGCAGGCUGCAACUAGCCUGCAUGAAGGAGGAAUCGCUAGUAAUCGCCGGUCAGCAUAAGGCGGUUAAUUCGUUCCCGGGCCUUGUACACACCNNCAGUCACACCAUGGAAGGAGGUCACUCCUGAAGUCAUUACCUCAACNCAAGGUGGGGGAUCNUANGNAAUGUCUUUUGGCANAAUUAGAC